rnacentral:rRNA from 1 species
UACGUAGGGUGCAAGCGUUAAUCGGAAUUACUGGGCGUAAAGCGUACGCAGGCGGCUUUGCAAGACAGGUGUGAAAUCCCCGGGCCUAACCUGGGAACUGCAUUUGUGACUGCAUGGCUAGAGUUUGUCAGAGGGGGGUGGAAUUCCACAUGUAGCAGUGAAAUGCGUAGAUAUGUGGAGGAACACCGAUGGCGAAGGCAGCCCCCUGGGAUGUGACUGACGCUCAUGUACGAAAGCGUGGGGAGCAAACAGG